rnacentral:lncRNA from 1 species
GGCAUAUGGAGGUUCCCAGGCUAGGGGUCUAAUCAGAGCUGCUGCCACCAGCCUAUGCCAGAGCCACAGCAAUGCCAGAUCCGAGUCGCAUCUACAACCUCACCACAGCUCAAGGCAACGCCAGAUCCUUAACCCACUGAGCAAGGCCAGGGACUGAACCUGCAACCUCCUGGUUCCUAGAUGGAUUCGUUAACCACUGCGCCACGAUGGGAACUCCCAACACAUGAAUAUAUUUAUUGAAAUAAUUAUCAAUAUCAUAAGAGAAUUUUGCUCCCAUCUUCUUUCCAUAUGUGAUUCAUAGAAUUAUAUGCAACUCAUCUAAGCUGGGCUACCCAUCAUCUGAGGCAGCGUUAAAUCAGUAUCCCAUCUAAAAACACAUCGAGCUCUAAAAAGUGACUUGAGAUGAAUAUCGACCUUUAUGAAAGAUCUUUUGAGGAAGCAACAAUGAGGCAAUUCAUAAAAUUGCACAGAGCACUUGCUUACAACAGUUUUCAGAUAUCUCUUUCUCCCCUCAAAGUCUCACCCCAUGUAGCCACAGCUCAUAUUUUUCUUCCCUCAUUUAAAACUCCUUUACAUUCCUUGCAUUCCCUCUUGUCCUGCCUCCUCUGGGAUGUGUGUCUUAGUCUCCAUACCUUUAAAGUUCCAUGCUACUAACCCAGCAGCCUCCCCAUAGCACAAGCUCUUGAGACGUGAGCUCAAUCCCUUUUGGCUGCUCUGAUGGGGUCCUGAGGAAAGAGCUUCCCCCUUCAAUCCUGAAAGUCUCAGCAGAAUUCCUAAACUUUUCUUGAAGAAUUUUUUCUUGAAGACUUUUUCUUCAAAUGCUUGUAGAGUUCAACAUUUGUACUCUCACUUCUUUCUAUUAACCUUUCUUUUUAUUGCAUUUUAUUUACAUAAUCUUAGUAAAUAGCACAAUCACAGAAAACAAGUAAUUGUUUUAUUUCAUUGUAAAACGUAAGUUGAGAUAAGUGAUCUCCUUCAAUUGGUUGAGAUUGUAUGGUGACAAUGAGAGCAGAAUGCAUUUUCACUACAAUGCAAUAGAAAGAUACUUAGAAGGGAUGUGGAAUUCCAGAAUGAAAGAGCUACACAGUAGGGACACAAGAGAAAAAGAAUUCUAUUCUGCACUAUUGAAGCUUUAUCCUCUACCGUUAACUAGCCCUGACCUCCUGAGUACAUUACCUCUAAGUCUCAAGGACUCCUGCCCUUUGAACAAAAUGUUUAUUAGAUGCUAUAUCCUAUGUCUACUCUUAAUCUUGACAUUUAGGUCUUAACAAACCUAAUAAUGAGAAAGGGCAAGUAGUUAUAACUUUAAGACGGCUAAGCAAAGUAGAAUUCUUGUCCCUAAAGCUGUGAACACCUGACUUAUGUCCCCUGAGAGAACCCUUCCCAGUCCUGAUGGGGUUCCCGUCAUGGCUCAUUGGAAAUGAAUCUGACUAGUAUCCAUGACGAUGGCGAUUCCAUCCCUGGCCUCAAUGGAUUAAGGAUCUGGCAUUGCUGUGAGCUGUCNAGCUAUAGCUCAGAUUCAACCCCUAGCCUGGGAACCUCCAUAUGUCAUGGGUGCAGCCCAAAAAAGAAAAAAAAAAAAAAGAAAUUAGUUCUAAUUUUUUGUCUUUGACCCAUAUCAUCUGACUUCUCUUGGUGGAGUUGGAAUAUUGAGUUUAUACUAGACACUAAAAUGUGUGACAUAAUUAUUGCUAUUUCCUAAAAGAAAUUCAUUAAUCAAUUUCAACUCAGAUGUUAGGUAGCCAAGAGAAAUUUCCCAAUGAAACUGUGCCACUUUUUUUAAAGUGACCAAGAACAGUCAGAUCCCAACUGAUAUAUAUUUAAAAGCUAUUCUCUCUUUUUAUGGAAAUUUAGUGCUAUGCAUUUUUUCCUGAAAGUAAAAUUUAUAACCUCAAUUCAUGAAAAUCAAAGAAACUAAUUUAAUAUGGGAAUUCAUGUCAUCAAAUAUUAUUAAAGCCUUAUAUUAGUAAACUUAUUCAAAGUAAUGCCUCAGAUUAUAUACUCAAAUUAAUCUAAAUUCUCAGUGGACAUUGUUAUACUGUCAAAAAUCACACUGACACAGGGUCUCAUAGAAAUAGAAGCUUGGUAUCAGAAGGUUAAUAAUUCCCGGACAUACUAUUAGGAUAAAAAAGCAAGCUAUGUGGGAGUUCCUGUUGCGGCUCAGUGGUAACAAAUAAAACUAGUAUCCAUGAGGAGGAGUGUUCAAUCCCGGGCCUCACUCAGUCGGUUAAGGAUCUGGCAUUGCCGUGAGCUAUGGUGUAGGUCACAGAUGCAUCUUGGAUCCUGCGCUGCUUUGGCUGUGGCAUGGGCCGGCAGCUGCAGCUCCUAUUGGACCCCUAGGCUGGGAACUUCCAUAUGCCUCAGGUGUGGCCCUAAAAAGCAAAACAGAAAGAAAAAAAAAAAGCUAGCUGUGUAUUAGACACAAAUAAGGAGAUCUGAGUGCUGGAGAUGGUACAUCUAAAUUUUAUGUCACAUAUAAGUUCAUCUUACCGGAAGGCAGUUCUUCCUGUGUUCCUCACAUCUCUGCAUACCUUGCAAGCAGAAACACUGCCUGUCCUUUGUUUAGACUAUCUCAUCCAGGGUGUUUGCCUGGUGAACAGCCUUGGAAAGCUGUGCGUACCUCUAGAGCAAAGGUCAACUUUGCUUAUAGCCUUAAAGGUCAUGACACUGUCUCCCUGCUGAACAAAGGCAGGUGGUCUACGGCCCAUUGCAAAAGACACGGGGUCCCUAAACUCAGGCUUUCCCCUCUGUAAUGCAACACACUGGGGCGUAUCACCCAACCUUCCUCAUGUUAUUGAUCUGUCUGAAUUUUUCCUUAAAGACCCAAUGCCAGAGUAACAGUACUUUUUGCUAUUCUUGUUGUGAGAGAAUUACCUCAGUUUCUGCCAUCAUCCAUGAAGCUAUGGUUGGAAAACUUGCAAAUAAGAUUAAUACUCAGACCCAUCAUAGUUCUACAGAGAUUUUAUACUAAAUAUUGGGUAAAUAGCCAUGGCAUGAUUAUAGGCUGGGCAAAGUAUUCUCUAAAGAGGUUUCUUAGAUCUGAGGAUCUUUUCCACUGCAUUUAAAUUUGAUUAUUAACAAUAUACUUUAUAAGAGAAAUGACUGAAAAGAAUUGCAUUUCUGAGUAGCUCUUCAAUGCUCAAAAUCAACUAAUUUGCUCAGCUUUUUUAAAAUGGGGAAAUGUUUCUACAUACUAGCCAUACGAAAUUGCUCAGGUUUCCUUUUUUAGCAACAAUUUUAUCUCACUUUUGAAAACAGAGCUGGAUCCUUACUGUAAAAAUCCAACAUGAAGAUUUGCCAGAAAAAAUCCACUAAAGUUACUGGGAGAUAAAAGAAACUUUAAGAAUUGUUUAAAAAACAAAAACAAAAAAGAAGUUUUCUUUUUUUAAAAUAUGAAGAUUACAUAUUGUCUAAAAGUCACUCUUGCUUGAUCUUAUAGAGAUCAAGCGUAAGAGAAGGUUGCAAAGUGUGUGUGUGUGUGUGUGUGGGGGUAUUUGGGAGUGAUUAUUUUGUAGGGUGAGGAGCUUCUCCAGCCCUUGUGUUAGCUGUUUAGCAAUCCCUUCAUUUACCUUUAUUUAACUUCUUAUGCAGUCUUGGAAGCAAAUAUUCUCAAUAUUUUGAACUCUCCAAAGUCUGAUUACGUGUCUUUCUCAUUCUGAGCACAUGAGGCCUCUGACUACACCAUUCUUCUGCUAACAACACUGGAGUCCUCCUUUGGACUCGCUUUUUACCUAUGCAUUUGUUUUCUGCGUCCUCUCACAUAAUUCCUUUGCCUCCCUGUUUUUCUCAGGGGAAGAUAUAUUCCUCCAGUUUCCAUGCCUGAACCUGUCUUUCCUUUCUCCUCCCCCAGACCUCAAUUCAUAAAAGGUUUAUAGGAUAUUGAAAAGUCACUCUUUAUUUUCUCUGCCUUGCCACAUUCUCAUGGAGAUACUAAAUCACGUCUGCCGAAUAAUUUUAAAAUCAGGAAACUCAUUCUGCCGGCAUUAACUCAUCAUCUACUUCUAGGUUAGAUAAGAGUACAACGUAUUAUUAGGUCUUGAAAGACUAUGAUGAAGACACCUUUAAAAAGUGCAGUUAGCGUGUUAAUGUGGAGAAGUUCAGAAUGCUAUAGAGUAAUACGGAGGGAGUUGCUUUAAUCCCACUCUAACAUUCACAGUCCCAACAGGAGAGAGAAAAUGUACCUACAGGGUUAAUUAAGAACAUGUGAAUAGGGAACAAUUUACAAAGCUGUGUAGAAGAUUGUGGAAAGCAAAAACGGAACAUGAAACACUCUGGACCAAACAAUUUGGACUAAGCCUGAAGGGGGAAACAGCAAUAAUGGUUCCCAGACCUCAGAAGAACUGGAGCUGCAAGACUGUAGCAGCGGGUCUCCAGGACAAGGACAGAGCCUCUGCUGACCUGCAGCCUGCCCGGGAUGGGACAAGGAGAACGAGUACCACAGCUUCUAUUCCCCCCACACCUCAUUGUUCUUAUGGAGCUAAGAUAACCAGAAGCCAGAGGAAGGGAGGCUGGGCAAACCACUGCAGGGCACACAGAGCAGUCUGGAAAUGGGUAGAGAACAGACAUGAAGGGGAAAAGGAAAAACAUGGAAAGUAUCAGCCAAAAGGCCCUUUUGGAAGACUAUAUAGAAAGACUGAUAUAUAUUUGCCAAUUAUUAUUAUUAUCACUACUAUGGAUGAUGGUUAGGGAUUUGUAUCUGAUUCUUGCAUUUAAAAAUCUGAAGACUGUGGAGUUCCCAGUGUGGUGCAAUGGGAUCAGCAGGGUCUACAGGUUCGAUCCUGUGUUAAGUGUUUAAUGUGUUAGGUAUUAAACGUGUUAAGUGUUAAC